AGCAGCGUAGAGGAGUCUGGAGUCCUCACCGGGCCCAUAACCCGGAGAUCGUUGGUUCAAAUCCAACCGCUGCUA
rnacentral:tRNA from 1 species